GUGUCAGCAGCCGCGGUAAUACCGGCAGCCCGAGUGAUGGCCGAUCUUAUUGGGCCUUUAGCGUCCGUAGCUGGCCGCACAAGUCCAUCGGAAAAUCCACGGGCUCAACGGGUGCCCGUCCGGUGGAAACUGUGUGGCUUGGGACCGGAAGGCGCGACGGGUACGUCCGGGGUAGGAGUGAAAUCGGGUAAUCCUGGACGGACCGCCGAUGGCGAUAGCACGUCGCGAGAACGGAUCCGACAGUGAGGGACGAAAGCCAGGGUCUCGAACCGGAU
rnacentral:rRNA from 1 species